CCAAAGGCUCUUUUAAGAGCCACCCAACUUUUCAAUAAAAGGGCUGU
rfam:Manacus vitellinus contig46823, whole genome shotgun sequence.